rnacentral:rRNA from 1 species
GAUUUCUGGCUUGGUGCGCCUGGCCCGCCACGGUUACGUGUGUGAGUGCUGGGUCGCGCCUGCCAUCCUUCUAGAGAACGUCUCUACUCUUCAUUGAGCCGGAGGCGCUAUCUAGAUCUUUUACUUUGAAAAAAUUAGAGUGUUUAAAGCAGGCUUUUGCUAUGAAUACAUUAGCAUGGAAUAAUAAUUUAGGACUUCGGUUCUAUUUUGUUGGUUUCUAGGACUGAAGUAAUGAUUGAUAGGGAUAGUUGGGGGUGCUAGUAUUCAGCGGCCAGAGGUGAAAUUCUCGGAUUCGCUGAAGACUAACUUAUGCGAAAGCAUU